ensembl:snRNA U6 U6 spliceosomal RNA
CUGCUUGCCUUGGCAGCACAUAUACUAAAAUUGGAACGAUACAGAGAACAUUAGCAUGGUCCCUGAGCAAGGAUGACACUCAGAUUUGUGAAGGGUUCCAUAUUUUU